GCCAGUGUAGUGUAGUGGUUUGAGUGUUAAACUAUAACUCUGGAGAUCAGGGUUCAAAUCCUUGCUUGGCCA